rnacentral:rRNA from 1 species
GAUGAACGCUGGCGGCAUGCCUAAUACAUGCAAGUCGAACGAGAGGAAGGAAAGCUUGCUUUUCUGAAUCUAGUGGCGAACGGGUGAGUAACACGUAGGUAACCUGCCCAUGUGCCCGGGAUAACUUCUGGAAACGGAUGCUAAAACCGGAUAGGUAGCAGACAAGCAUUUGACUGCUAUUAAAGUGGCUAAGGCCAUGAACAUGGAUGGACCUGCGGUGCAUUAGCUAGUUGGUGAGGUAACGGCCCACCAAGGCGACGAUGCAUAGCCGGCCUGGGAGGGCAGACGGCCACAUUGGGACUGAGACACGGCGCAAACGCCUACGGGACGCAACAGUAGGGAAUUUUCGUCAAUGGGAGGAACCCUGAACGAGCAAUGCCGCGGGAGUGGGGAAGGUCUUCGGAUCGUAAAGCUCUGUUGUAAGAGAAAAACGACAUUCAUAGAGAAUGAUGAGUGAGUGAUGGUAUCUUACCAGAAAGUCACGGCUAACUACGUGCCAGCAGCCGCAGUAAUAC